rnacentral:rRNA from 1 species
AUGCCCGAUCAGCUCAAUAAGCACCUCAAUAAGCAGAAGGAAUUCAUCCACGGCUUGGUGGAGCUGCUGAAGGAGAGCCUCGACGACAUGCCUGCUGAGCUCAAUGAGCAGAGGGAGUUGACCGCCGGCUUGGUGAUGCUGCUGAAGAAGAGCAUUGCCUCGAAGAAGAUGGCGACCAGCGAAAUCCUGCAACUUCAGGAGGACAAGGCAAAGCUCUGCCAUGAGCUCGACCUACUGAAGGAAAAGAAUAACGGCUGGAAGAAGCUGCAUGAGAAUAGUAGUUCCUCGAUGAAUAUGCUGCAGGCACUCGUCAUGGGACAGAAGGAGGAGUUGGCAAAGCUCCGCAUCGAGCACCCGGCUGCCGUCAAGGUACAUAAUGCGGCCGUGGAACAGAUGAUGAAGGCUCGCGUCGAGAAAUCUCGCGUCAUGGACAGAAUGAAGAAGAUGGUGGUGGAGACGCGCAAGGAGAUGGAGGUCCUGGAGGCGAUGAAGAAGCAGUUACGACUCCGCGGCCAGCAACCCUUCAUGUAG